CUGCGGUGCCGCCUACAUGGCCACAGCCCCUGACCGGCGGCCUAGGGGCUUCGCGUUCUGGAAUAUAGCCUCUGAGGGGAGUGGGGCAAAUGGAACCAAUACCGCACUCAGCUUUGCUCCGAGUCUCAAUGAAUUUC
rnacentral:ribozyme from 1 species